AAAUAAGAAACAUUUAAAUGUAUUCAGUUUCGACCUGAAAAAAGAUUAUUUUAUCCUUAUUUA
rnacentral:tRNA from 1 species